AGAAAUAGUGCCAAAAAAUUUAAAACUUUCAGAAGGAAGGAUUAAAAAAGGGCUCAGUGUUCAGAUAGAAGAGCAAGCACACAGUUUGCAAGGUGGGCUCUCUCAGUUAUCAAGUGAGAAUCGGACUCUCAAACUGCAAGUUCUUUCUGAAUCUGAGCGUGCAAGUAAAGCUGAAACUGAAAUUAAAACCUUGAAGGAAGCACUGUCAGCAAUGCAAGCUGAAUUGGAAGCUGCUCUUCUUCAUUAUCAGCAGAGUUUACAGAAGUUAUCUAAUCUUGAGAGAGACCUCAAUGAUGCACAAAAG
rnacentral:lncRNA from 1 species